AGAGUUUGAUCAUGGCUCAGAACGAACGCUGGCGGCAGGCUUAACACAUGCAAGUCGAACGAUGCCUUCGGGCAUAGUGGCGCACGGGUGAGUAACGCGUGGGAACCUGUCCUGUGGUUCGGGAUACCUCCGGGAAACUGGAGUUAAUACCGGGUAUCUCCUGAGGGAGAAAGAUUUAUCGCCAUAGGGUGGGCCCGCGUCCGAUUAGCUAGUUGGUGGGGUAAAGGCCUACCAAGGCUUCGAUCGGUAGCUGGUCUGAGAGGAUGAUCAGCCACACUGGGACUGAGACACGGCCCAGACUCCUACGGGAGGCAGCAGUGGGGAAUAUUGGACAAUGGGGGCAACCCUGAUCCAGCCAUGCCGCGUGAGUGAUGAAGGCCUUCGGGUUGUAAAGCUCUUUCAGGUGCGACGAUGAUGACGGUAGCACCAGAAGAAGCCCCGGCUAACUUCGUGCCAGCAGCCGCGGUAAUACGAAGGGGGCGAGCGUUGUUCGGAAUUACUGGGCGUAAAGGGCGCGUAGGCGGCGUACCAAGUCAGGCGUGAAAGCCCUGGGCUUAACCCAGGAAUUGCGUUUGAGACUGGUAUGCUAGAGUACAGGAGAGGUCGGCGGAAUUCCCAGUGUAGAGGUGAAAUUCGUAGAGAUUGGGAAGAACACCGGUGGCGUAGGCGGCCGACUGGACUGUAACUGACGCUGAGGCGCGAAAGCGUGGGGAGCAAACAGGAUUAGAUACCCUAGUAGUCC
rnacentral:rRNA from 1 species